AGUGAACGCUGGCGGCGUGCUUAACACAUGCAAGUCGAACGAGAACGGAAUAUAGCUUGCUAUAUUUGUCAGCUAAGUGGCGCACGGGUGAGUAAUGUAUAGAUAACCUGCCCUUAAGAAAGGAAUAACAGUUGGAAACGACUGCUAAUGCCCUAUAUGCCUUUAAUACAUAAGUAUGCAAGGGAAACGCUUUAGUGCUUAAGGAUGGGUCUGUAUGGUAUCAGCUUGUUGGUGAGGUAAUGGCUCACAAAGGCUAUGACGCCUAACUGGUUUGAGAGGAUGAUCAGUCACACUGGAACUGAGACACGGUCCAGACUCCUACGGGAGGCAGCAGUGGGGAAUAUUGCACAAUGGACGAAAGUCGGAUGCAGCAACGCCGCGUGGAGGAUGACACAUUUCGGUGCGUAAACUCCUUUUAUAUAGGAAGAUAAUGACGGUACUAUAUGAAUAAGCACCGGCUAACUCCGUGCCAGCCGCCGCGGUAA
rnacentral:rRNA from 1 species